AGUGAUGAUAGCCUAGGAGAUACACCUGUUCCCAUGCCGAACACAGCAGUUAAGCCCUAGAACGCCUGAAGUAGUUGGGGGUUGCCCCCUGUUAGAUAUGGUAGUCGCUU
rnacentral:rRNA from 1 species